CCAUGCAUGUCUCAGUGCAAGCCGAGCCAAGGUGAAACCGCGAAUGGCUCAUUAAAUCAGUUAUGGUUCAUUGGAUCGUACCACACAGUACUUGGAUAACUGUGGUAAUUCUAGAGCUAAUACAUGCGAACAGAGUCCCGACCGGAGACGGGAGGGAUGCUUUUAUUAGAUCAAAACCAAUCGGCCGGUCGCCGGGCCCUCGCGCCCGUGCGGUCCGGUCCGUUUGCUUUGGUGACUCUGGAUAACUUGGAGCAGAUCGCACGGUCCUCGCGCCGGCGACGCGUCCUUCAAAUGUCUGCCUUAUCAACUGUCGAUGGUAGGCUCUGCGCCUACCAUGGUCGUAACGGGUGACGGGGAAUCAGGGUUCGAUUCCGGAGAGGGAGCCUGAGAAACGGCUACCACAUCCAAGGAAGGCAGCAGGCGCGCAAAUUACCCACUCCCGGCACGGGGAGGUAGUGACGAAAAAUAACGAUACGGGACUCAUCCGAGGCCCCGUAAUCGGAAUGAGAACACUUUAAACCCUUUAACGAGUAUCCAUUGGAGGGCAAGUCUGGUGCCAGCAGCCGCGGUAAUUCCAGCUCCAAUAGCGUAUAUUAAAGCUGUUGCGGUUAAAAAGCUCGUAGCUGGACCUGUGUCCCACGCUGUCGGUUCACCGUUCGUCGGUGUCCAACUGGCACGCCCGUGCGGACGUCCUGCCGGUGGACGCGGUCGGCCGCGGUGUAGGGCCCCGCGUGGUGCCCCGCCGGAGCCUGGCGGGAGGACCCCCGAAAGGGGGAGCACCCCCGUCCGGGGGGACGGCGGACCAGCGCCCGCGGUCGGUUCCGACCCGCGCGUCGGCGGUCCGGUGCAAUCCCGCCGCGGUGCUCUUCACCGAGUGUCGAGGUGGGCCGGCACGUUUACUUUGAACAAAUUAGAGUGCUCAAAGCAGGCAGUGGUUGGCCUGGAUGCUGUGUGCAUGGAAUAAUGGAAUAGGACCUCGGUUCUAUUUUGUUGGUUUUCGGAACCCCCGAGGUAAUGAUUAAUAGGGACAGACGGGGGCAUUCGUUAAUUUGACUCAACACGGGAAACCUCACCAGGCCCGGACACCGGAAGGAUUGACAGAUUGAGAGCUCUUUCUUGAUUCGGUGGGUGGUGGUGCAUGGCCGUUCUUAGUUGGUGGAGCGAUUUGUCUGGUUAAUUCCGAUAACGAACGAGACUCCGGCCUGCUAACUAGUCGCACUUGCGGUAUCCCUUCGUGCUACCGGCGACAGAUGAUCUUCUUAGAGGGACAGGCGGCUCCUAGCCGCACGAGAUCGAGCAAUAACAGGUCUGUGAUGCCCUUAGAUGUUCUGGGCCGCACGCGCGCUACACUGAAGGAAUCAGCGUGUCCUCCUGGCCCGAGAGGGCCGGGUAACCCGUUGAAACUCCUUCGUGCUGGGGAUUGGGGCUUGCAAUUGUUCCCCAUGAACGAGGAAUUCCCAGUAAGCGCGAGUCAUGAGCUCGCGUUGAUUACGUCCCUGCCCUUUGUACACACCGCCCGUCGCUACUACCGAUUGAAUGAUUUAGUGAGGUCUUCGGACCGGCGCGCGGCGGCUCCACCUUCCUCCGUCCGGUGCCCCUCCCGCUUAACGGCGGCGAGCGGGGUUACCGCCGGGCGGGGUCGGAGGCCGCUGAUGUCGCUGGGAAGAUGACCGAACUUGAUCAUUUAGAGGAAGUAAAAGUCGUAACAAGGUUUCCGUAGGUGAACC
rnacentral:rRNA from 1 species